rnacentral:rRNA from 1 species
AGCGGCGGACGGGUGAGUAACGCGUGGGUAACCUGCCUUAUACGGGGGGAUAACAGUUAGAAAUGGCUGCUAAUACCGCAUAAGCGCACAGGACCGCAUGGUCUGGUGUGAAAAACUCCGGUGGUAUAAGAUGGACCCGCGUCUGAUUAGCUAGUUGGUGGGGUAACGGCCCACCAAGGCGACGAUCAGUAGCCGGCCUGAGAGGGUGAACGGCCACAUUGGGACUGAGACACGGCCCAAACUCCUACGGGAGGCAGCAGUGGGGAAUCUUCCGCAAUGGACGAAAGUCUGACGGAGCAACGCCGCGUGAGUGAUGACGGCCUUCGGGUUGUAAAGCUCUGUCUUUAGGGACGAUAAUGACGGUACCUAAGGAGGAAGCCACGGCUAACUACGUGCCAGCAGCCGCGGUAAUACGUAGGUGGCAAGCGUUGUCCGGAUUUACUGGGCGUAAAGGGAGCGUAGGUGGAUAUUUAAGUGGGAUGUGAAAUACCCGGGCUCAACCUGGGUGCUGCAUUCCAAACUGGAAAUCUAGAGUGCAGGAGGGGAAAGUGGAAUUCCUAGUGUAGCGGUGAAAUGCGUAGAGAUUAGGAAGAACACCAGUGGCGAAGGCGACUUUCUGGACUGUAACUGACGCUGAGGCGCGAAAGCCAGGGGAGCGAACGGGAUUAGAUACCCCGGUAGUCCUGGCCGUAAACGAUGAAUGCUAGGUGUUGGAGGGUUUCCGCCCUUCAGUGCCGCAGCUAACGCAUUAAGCAUUCCGCCUGGGGAGUACGGCCGCAAGGCUAAAACUCAAAGAAAUUGACGGGGGCCCGCACAAGCGGCGGAGCAUGUGGUUUAAUUCGAAGCAACGCGAAGAACCUUACCUAGACUUGACAUCUCCUGCAUUACCCUUAAUCGGGGAAGUUCCUUCGGGGACAGGAAGACAGGUGGUGCAUGGUUGUCGUCAGCUCGUGUUGUGAGAUGUUGGGUUAAGUCCCGCAACGAGCGCAACCCUUAUUGUUAGUUGCUACCAUUUAGUUGAGCACUCUAGCGAGACUGCCCGGGUUAACCGGGAGGAAGGUGGGGAUGACGUCAAAUCAUCAUGCCCCUUAUGUCUAGGGCUUCACACGUGCUACAAUGGCUGGUACAAAGAGAAGCAAGACCGUGAGGUGGAGCAAAACUCAAAAACCAGUCCCAGUUCGGAUUGUAGGCUGAAACUCGCCUACAUGAAGCCGGAGUUGCUAGUAAUCGCGAAUCAGCAUGUCGCGGUGAAUACGUUCCCGGGUCUUGUACACACCGCCCGUCA